rnacentral:rRNA from 1 species
UACGGAGGGGGCAAGCGUUGUUCGGAUUUACUGGGCGUAAAGGGUCCGUAGGCGGUUGUGUAAGUCUGGUGUGAAAUCUUCGCCGCUUAACGGGAAGCAGCCACUGGAAACUGCAUAACUUGAGUCUGGUAGAGGCAAGCGGAAUUCCUGGUGUAGCGGUGGAAUGUGUAGAUAUCAGGAAGAACAUCUGUGGCGAAGGCGGCUUGCUGGGCCAGUACUGACGCUGAGGGACGAAAGCGUGGGGAGCAAACGGG